rnacentral:rRNA from 1 species
UACGUAGGGCGCAAGCGUUGUCCGGAAUUAUUGGGCGUAAAGAGCUCGUAGGCGGUUUGUCGCGUCUGCUGUGAAAACUCGAGGCUCAACCUCGGGCUUGCAGUGGGUACGGGCAGACUAGAGUGCGGUAGGGGUGACUGGAAUUCCUGGUGUAGCGGUGGAAUGCGCAGAUAUCAGGAGGAACACCGAUGGCGAAGGCAGGUCACUGGGCCGCAACUGACGCUGAGGAGCGAAAGCCAGGGGAGCGAACGGG